rnacentral:rRNA from 1 species
UACGAAGGGGGCUAGCGUUGCUCGGAAUCACUGGGCUUAAAGGGCGCGUAGGCGGGUUCGCAAGUCUGUGGUGAAAUCCUCCGGCUCAACCGGAGAACUGCCUCGGAUACUGCGGGUCUCGAGGGUGAUAGGGGUAUGCGGAACUAUCGGUGGAGCGGUGAAAUGCGUUGAUAUCGAUAGGAACUCCGGUGGCGAAGGCGGCAUACUGGAUCACUUCUGACGCUGAGGCGCGAAAGCCAGGGGAGCAAACGGG